AUCCUGUCCAGCUUCAGGGCGAUGAAGAUGAACUGGAGGAUGUUAACUGAACACAACACCUCCAGCUGAGGAGAGGGAGGGACGAAGAGGACAAAAGCUCAGCACUGUGCUCAUACUCCACCAGCCACGAUCGGCAAGACACAGAAAUAUGGGAUCAGCGUGCUCCAACCGGACAAACCCAACUGAUGGAGGAAGAAAUAAAGGGUUGAGAGCUACUGUAACGGAAGCUAUUCAGAAGGGCCAUCCCUGACUGCAAAUACACAGAAUGACUAGUGCUGAAAAAAUUCAGACAUUUCUGCUGAUGGUGUUGAGGCUUUUGCAUUCGCCCCCUGACGGAGUUUCUACAUCAUUUCUUCGACUUUUAAUGUCCAUCUCUUCGACGGGAUCCGGAGUUUCUGAGAUUUCUGGGAGGCAGUGGCGUCUCUGGUUGUCCAGGUUUUAGUGGAGGUUGGUUCUGGAAAAACAGAAGAUUCGUAAUGACUCAC